rnacentral:lncRNA from 1 species
AUGCGUUUGUGUGUGUGUGUGUGUGUGUGUGUGUGUGUGUGUGUGUGUGUGUGUGCACGCACAUAUGUCAGAAGGUCAAUCCAAGCAAGAGGAAAUUCAACAUCUGGGUGUGUGAUUCUUGUUCCCGUAAGUGAGAACCCCAGGUUGCCUCUCUUCAUCAUCUUGACAGCUUGCUUUCAGAAUGUGUUCCAGGCUUUAGAGCCUGGUCAUGUAUUAUUAGUUUUAUUUAGCGAUGUAAUCUCGACAUUGCUGCUGAGUUCAGAAGGUUUAGGGAAGUCACAGAGAUGACAGCUGAACUAAUCACCCUCAUAUGCUUCAUCAGCAGGCUGUCUGAACAAGAGCCAGACCAAACACUCAGAGCCGAACACUGUAGAGUUACAGUCAUGUGAAAAAAACUGAAUGAGAACCUUUAAAAAGCUUUGUCUUAAGCAUUGCCAAAUAGCAUCACAGCACAAUCGGAGGAAGGUGUAGCGACUCGGUUCUGAUACAUCAGCUCACAGACGCUUUUUGCUGAGCGACAUCACCCUUUGGAGUGAUGUUGGGAGAGAGCAAUUGUGCUCCCUCAGGGCUCCGGCAGCUGAUGGCAAGCUACAUGAAUGGGAUUCGAACCAGCGAUCUUCCGAUCUUAGUGGCAGCAUUUAGCCCCCUAGACCAUUUGGACACCAAAACACAGUGUUUCUUACAUUAAAUUUAUGUUUGUUUUUUGGAUCAACCAUAUUUUAUUUAAUAAUAUAUAUCCAUUUCUGCAUUUUAGGCCUGCAACACAUUCUGAAAUAGUUGGUACAGUAAAGAAUUUACCAUGUGUUGUAUCAUUUUAAAGUUACCAUUUCUUCUCAAAACACUUUUUGUCAGUAAGUCUUUCAGGUGUUUUUGUCCUGUUCUUCCUGCAAACAUAUCUUUCGAUGUACAACAGGAUUUGAGGAUCACUGUUGUUGCAUUUCUUCAUUUCAGAAUUCUCUACACAUUCUCUAUUGGGGCAGGCCAGGACUUCAGACAGGCCUCAGCGCUACCUUUGAAAUGUAGUUUUUAAUACCGUCUUGCUAAAAAAAUGCAUUGGCAUUCCUGGAAAAGAUGUUGUCUUUAGGACAGAAUAUGCUGCGUUAUUUUUGCCAUCACAGACGUGUGCUGACACAACCCCAUACCAUAACAAACCCUGAACCAUUUAUUUUGGACUUUUUUUCUCUUUCUGUUGUUUUCAUUCUAGAGGAAUCUCCAGAAAUAAUUUAUCCAUGAGUUAUAUUUUUAGGGAGGAAAAAGAAUCACACCACUAUUUAGGAGAUUUUUUCUUUGGGAACUGGAUUUUUCUUUGGAUUUGAUAACAAGCUGAUUAUUUGAAUUACUACUGCUUUUUGUGAAGGCACUAACAAAAGUGAUCUAUAUAAUGAGACAGCAAAGAAAAAAACAAGUUUUUUAGUUUGUUUACAACAGGAAUGUCAGAGAAUAGUAAGAAUAUAAACAGCCAAACAUACUUCUUUGCACAUGUAUUUAUUUUUAUUUAUGACCCACAUGUACAUCUCACUGGACGAAGAUAUGUCUGAUUACAUUAUAUUAAAAAUUAAAAUAAAUAAAUAAUAAGGUAUGGUAUGGAAUGGUGU